AGUGAACGCUGGCGGUAGGCCUAACACAUGCAAGUCGAACGGCAGCACAGUAAGAGCUUGCUCUUACGGGUGGCGAGUGGCGGACGGGUGAGGAAUACAUCGGAAUCUACUUUUUCGUGGGGGAUAACGUAGGGAAACUUACGCUAAUACCGCAUACGACCUACGGGUGAAAGCAGGGGAUCUUCGGACCUUGCGCGAUUGAAUGAGCCGAUGUCGGAUUAGCUAGUUGGCGGGGUAAAGGCCCACCAAGGCGACGAUCCGUAGCUGGUCUGAGAGGAUGAUCAGCCACACUGGAACUGAGACACGGUCCAGACUCCUACGGGAGGCAGCAGUGGGGAAUAUUGGACAAUGGGCGCAAGCCUGAUCCAGCCACACCGCGUGGGUGAAGAAGGCCUGCGGGUUGUAAAGCCCUUUUGUUGGGAAAGAAAAGCAGCAGGUUAAUACCCCGCUGUUCUGACGGUACCCAAAGAAUAAGCACCGGCUAACUUCGU
rnacentral:rRNA from 1 species